CCUUUUUUGGGUUGUUGUUUGUAUUAUUGUACAAUGGGGGAAACCCUGAUGCAGCAACGCCGCGUGGGUGAAGGAGCGUUUCGGCGCGUAAAGCCCUGUCAGCGGGGAAGAAGAAAGACGGUACCCGACCAAGAAGCCCCGGCUAACUACGUGCCAGCAGCCGCGGUAAUACGUAGGGGGCGAGCGUUAUCCGGAAUUACUGGGUGUAAAGGGAGCGUAGACGGCGAGGUAAGCCUGAAGUGGAAGCCCGCGGCCCAACCGCGG
rnacentral:rRNA from 1 species